UACGGAGGGGACUAGCGUUGUUCGGAAUUACUGGGCGUAAAGCGCACGUAGGCGGAUCUGUAAGUCAGGGGUGAAAUCCCGGGGCUCAACCUCGGAACUGCCUUUGAUACUGCAAAUCUCGAGUCCGGAAGAGGUGAGUGGAAUUCCUAGUGUAGAGGUGAAAUUCGUAGAUAUUAGGAAGAACACCAGUGGCGAAGGCGGCUCACUGGUCCGGUACUGACGCUGAGGUGCGAAAACGUGGGGAGCAAACAGG
rnacentral:rRNA from 1 species